rnacentral:rRNA from 1 species
CCUACGGGGGGCAGCAGUAGGGAAUAUUUCUCAAUGGGGGAAACCCUGAAGCAGCAACGCCGCGUGGAGGAUGAAGGUUUUCGGAUUGUAAACUCCUUUUGUUAGAGAAGAUAAUGACGGUAUCUAACGAAUAAGCACCGGCUAACUCCGUGCCAGCAGCCGCGGUAAUACGGAGGGUGCAAGCGUUACCCGGAAUCACUGGGCGGAAAGAGCGCGUAGGCGGGAUAGCAAGUCAGAUGUGAAAUCCUAUGGCUUAACCAUAGAACUGCAUUUGAAACUGUUAGUCUAGAGUAUGGGAGAGGUAGGUGGAAUUCUUGGUGUAGGGGUAAAAUCCGUAGAGAUCAAGAGGAAUACUCAUUGCGAAGGCGACCUGCUAGAACAUAACUGACGCUGAUGCGCGAAAGCGUGGGGAGCAAACAGGAUUAGAUACCCCAGUAGUC